rnacentral:misc_RNA from 1 species
GUUUUUGCAGCAAAUCGCCCAUAUGAUAUCUGAAUAUUGUAGUCUUUCAGUGUCCUCAUUAUGUCAUACAGAAGACCUUUGUGAUCUUGGCAAGCAAUCUUGAUGAGAGUAUGACCAGGGCUCAUCAAAUUAUCGACGGUGAUAAUCGCUUUAUUGCAGGCAAGAGAUGUACUCAGUUGCUCAUGAAGUAUUUCGAAGCUAAACAUGUCCUCGGCAAUUUCUUGAGGAAGGAACGAUGGUCCUUGAGAGCAUUCGGUGAUUUCAGACCCGACCAUUUCUAUGUCACAACUUAUCAUGGCAUCGCCCAGAACAGAUUUCAACUGGUAAUGUGUGUCUUCUUGUCUCUUCUUUGUAUGUAGAAGUUCUCUUGUGUCAGUGAUGAAGAACAGGUCCAUCACUUUUCCAUCUGGAGUAGUGGAUACUUUCACCUUCUUUAUUGUAAGCUCAAGCUCGGAAAGUACUGCCGUCACAUCAUGCAAAAGGCCCCUCCGAUCGUUGCAACAGAACGUCAAGAGGAAUACUUCAGGAGGCCUAGGAGACAACUCAGCACGAUAAUAUGAUAUGCCGGAGGCAGAAGAACAAGACGGACAGGCUCCCAUAAGUCUCUUCUUUAACAGAUUCCAUCUUGUGUCUGGUCUUCCCACCACCCAAAACACUAUGUAGCACCAUAUUCCGUCAGUCGAUACAUCAACUCUGACAACAGUGAGCCCAAAAAAGAGAAUGAUUCUACAAAGAUCAGAACCUAAACCAGUCUUAUCAGGACAAUUCACAGUAAUCACACUUGGUUCACCUUCUCUUUCUGAAUGAUUCAAUAACACAACAUCAUCAUACAAAAUUCCCAUCUCCUCUUCUUCCUCCAAAUGGAGAUGAAGGGGUUGCCUCUUUUCUCCUCCUUUCCCAAUUUUUUCACUUUUUUCAACAACUAAAUCACAAAUAAAUACAGAAAGAUUCAAUCUUUUUCUAUAAAAGAAGAAUCUU